AGUGAACGCUGGCGGUAGGCCUAACACAUGCAAGUCGAACGGCAGCACAGUAAGAGCUUGCUCUUACGGGUGGCGAGUGGCGGACGGGUCAGGAAUACAUCGGAAUCUACUUUUUCGUGGGGGAUAACGUAGGGAAACUUACGCUAAUACCGCAUACGACCUACGGGUGAAAGCAGGGGAUCUUCGGACCUUGCGCGAUUGAAUGAGCCGAUGUCGGAUUAGCUAGUUGGCGGGGUAAAGGCCCACCAAGGCGACGAUCCGUAGCUGGUCUGAGAGGAUGAUCAGCCACACUGGAACUGAGACACGGUCCAGACUCCUACGGGAGGCAGCAGUGGGGAAUAUUGGGCAAUGGGCGCAAGCCUGAUCCAGCCAUACCGCGUGGGUGAAGAAGGCCUUCGGGUUGUAAAGCCCUUUUGUUGGGAAAGAAAAGCAGCAGGUUAAUACCCCGCUGUUCUGACGGUACCCAAAGAAUAAGCACCGGCUAACUUCGUG
rnacentral:rRNA from 1 species